rnacentral:rRNA from 1 species
GACGAACGCUGGCGGCGUGCUUAACACAUGCAAGUCGAACGGAAAGGCCCUGCUUUUGUGGGGUGCUCGAGUGGCGAACGGGUGAGUAACACGUGAGUAACCUGCCCUUGACUUUGGGAUAACUUCAUGAAACUGGGGCUAAUACCGGAUAGGAGCUCCUGCUGCAUGGUGGGGGUUGGAAAGUUUCGGCGGUUGGGGAUGGACUCGCGGCUUAUCAGCUUGUUGGUGGGGUAGUGGCUUACCAAGGCUUUGACGGGUAGCCGGCCUGCGAGGGUGACCGGCCACAUUGGGACUGAGAUACGGCACAGACUACUACGGGAGGCAGCAGUGGGGAAUAUUGCACAAUGGGCGGAGGCCUGAUGCAGCAACGCCGCGUGCGGGAUGACGGCCUUCGGGUUGUAAACCGAUUUCGCCUGUGACGAAGCGUGAGUGACGGUAAUGGGUAAAGAAGCACCGGCUAACUACGUG